rnacentral:rRNA from 1 species
ACGCUGGCGGCAGGCCUAACACAUGCAAGUCGAGCGGAUGAAGGGAGCUUGCUCCUGGAUUCAGCGGCGGACGGGUGAGUAAUGCCUAGGAAUCUGCCUGGUAGUGGGGGAUAACGUCCGGAAACGGGCGCUAAUACCGCAUACGUCCUGAGGGAGAAAGUGGGGGAUCUUCGGACCUCACGCUAUCAGAUGAGCCUAGGUCGGAUUAGCUAGUUGGUGGGGUAAAGGCCUACCAAGGCGACGAUCCGUAACUGGUCUGAGAGGAUGAUCAGUCACACUGGAACUGAGACACGGUCCAGACUCCUACGGGAGGCAGCAGUGGGGAAUAUUGGACAAUGGGCGAAAGCCUGAUCCAGCCAUGCCGCGUGUGUGAAGAAGGUCUUCGGAUUGUAAAGCACUUUAAGUUGGGAGGAAGGGCAGUAAGUUAAUACCUUGCUGUUUUGACGUUACCAACAGAAUAAGCACCGGCUAACUUCGUGCCAGCAGCCGCGGUAAUACGAAGGGUGCAAGCGUUAAUCGGAAUUACUGGGCGUAAAGCGCGCGUAGGUGGUUCAGCAAGUUGGAUGUGAAAUCCCCGGGCUCAACCUGGGAACUGCAUCCAAAACUACUGAGCUAGAGUACGGUAGAGGGUGGUGGAAUUUCCUGUGUAGCGGUGAAAUGCGUAGAUAUAGGAAGGAACACCAGUGGCGAAGGCGACCACCUGGACUGAUACUGACACUGAGUG